AUUAAUUAUUUAACCUUUAUAACCUUUAUUACCUUUAACUUUUAUUAUUUAUGGAACCUUUAUUUAUUUAUUUUAUUUAGAGUGUCUUUUAUUUUGAAAUUGUUCUUGUCAUGACUUUGUUCAUUUAUCUGUCUAAUGGUGUCUGGGUGUUUGUUUUUCAUCUCAUUAAAUCAGCAUGUUUUCUGAAGGACUUACAUUUUUCUUCAGGUUGUGUGUUUUGUUUCUGUAUGAUUGGUUUCCCUCAUUCUGUCUUCCAUUUUUUGAACAAAAGGCCUAACCGCAAACUCCAAAAAUGAUCUUUCUCUCUCCGUCUCGCUCUUCCUCCCUCAAGCUGUACUGGGAAGUUAAUUUGGUGAUGAUGGCAAUGGAGGUCCUGGGAGGCUAAUAGCUUUUCCAGGUAAAUAAAUCCCCAUAGUUCAUAAUUAGCUAUUAGCAUGCGUGUCAACUGUUUGCUCUGAGCGCAGGUCACGUGUUUCUUAUAUUUACAUCACG
rnacentral:lncRNA from 1 species